UCCUUCCUCAUUACACGAUCCUAGAAUCCCACCGCCUCAUAACCUCUUCAACAUCAGACUCAUCGAUCUUCAACAUCAAACGAACCCGUCACCGCCUUCCCUUCUCUCUCCCGACAUCGACCUAGGUGCAGAUAUAUUCUUCUUUGCUUCUUUGUGUUACUAUUUUGCUUUCGCGUCGGCGUCAAGAGCUUGCGGUGGUGAGGAGCAUCGCCAGUGAGGGAGCACUGUUUCUCUCUAGAAGCAAUUCAGCACCACCAUCAGCACCGUCUACUCCGUUUUUGUCUGCCCUGUUAAAAUCGACACCACCACCGGAGCACCAUCAAAGAAUCUCAUCACUACUGCAGUAGUCAAUGGCCUCUAAUGAGGCUUUCAGACACAUAUAUCUCCAUCGGUGUGGAAUCUCCGCUGCAACAAAUCAGCCCUAAUUUCUUCAACUCUUCCGUUCUGCUUGACAAACUUUUAAGAGAUAGUUCACGUUGAAGAGGUUAACAAUUUUCAGCCAAUUCGUAUUGUUAAAUGCAGAGUGAACUAUGUAUGUGUCUUUGGAGUAUGUUGAUGUUCCGAUUUAGAUCAGACAUACGAUGAGUUUGAGGCUUUCUCUAACAUGCACUUAGUUUACUCUAAUCUCCCAUAAACACCUUGAACCGUGGGAGUCCGUCGACCAUAGAAACGACGACUCACCGACUGCCUCUUCGUUCUCGGUUGUGUUUGUUUCUAAUCUGUAGUGGUCUUCCUCUGGUUGCAGAUCAUAGUCGACACUCCAGGCGGCCUCGAAAUAUCUUCCGUCCUUCCAGACUAUUACUAUUGCUGGCCUCCUGCGGCGCCCACCAACUAGAAAUACGUUUCCCGUUCCAUAUCCUCGGCCGGCAACCUACCCGCUGCGGAUUCCCCGGUUUCAACCUCUCAUGUGACGAACAAAACCAAACAAUCAUCCGACUUCCGUCAUCCCGCUCAUACAUCGUCAAUAGAAUUUCCUACGUUUCACAGAUCCGGAAUAUCUCCUGUUUCCAAAUCUGAGUCUCUGAAUUCAUCCGCAUGAACAUCAACUAUCUCUGAUUCCAAGUUGAACUUUUUGGGUCAAUUGCGUCCCAGAUAAACGAAAUCACGAUUUUCUGGAUGUGUCGCUACUCCUCCUCCCUCGAGUUCAAUGAAAACUUCAGCUACAACGGACCACGUUUAUGAUAUUGACAAACAAAUUCGACAACUGAAAAAGAAGAUUCUAUUGAUGGAGGCUCAACAACAGAAAGCAGGGUGUGGUCAUGAUCCAAAACAAGAACAAGUUGAGAAGGUUGCUAAAUUUGAAGAUUGGAGGAAAGAAUUGAGACUUCUGUUGGAUGCUUCUCUAGGAUCACUAUAAAGGCAUUUUUGUUGGGAUAAAAAAGGGUCUAUAUGAAAGAAAAUGUUUUCUUCACUGCUUGACCUGAUGAGGUAAUUUCUAUCAACAGUAAAAAAAAUUACCUCCUAGAUUGUUGUAUUGUUUAAAUUAAAAAUGAAGUGGCUCUUCGGAUGCAGAGAAUUUGUAUGUUUGAUAUUUUGUAGGUAAUUAAGUUUGAGGAUCUUAAAGAGUUGGGAAGUGUGCCUGCUGUUAAGCAAUCAACUAUGAAGGAAUAGAAAACUGAUAUACAAAAUGUCAAAAAAAGGGUUUUUUUGGUGGAAAAAGAAUAGUGUAAUUGAAAUACAUGGAAAGGGAAAUGUUGGAUGAGAUCAGAUAAUCAAAACAGUGGAUGUCCAAGUCAGUCCUUUGUUUUUUUUCUCACUUUUGCUAAUCAUAGUGCCAGAUCCACCUGUAGCUAUGAAAUCAAAUUAGUACGGAUAGAUGGGUUUGCGGUUUUAUGAGCACACAGAUUUAGCUACAGUUUUAUGAGUUUUUGGCAAAAAUAUCAUAUGAGGUUAGUUUAAUUAUGUAUUCAGAAUAUUGUUUUUGGUUUUGUCCAUGGAUUCUUUUCUUCAGGGUUCUGGCUGGAAGGUGAAGAUUUCUUUUUCUUAUUACUCUCACUUUUUCCAUUUGGAGCACUAAUAAGAAGAAGGCAUCGAUGCGGUGAUUUAAAUAACCUUCCUGCUGCCUUGCUCCACGUUUGAACCAGAUGCCCUAUUAAGGUCGUUGCGUAUCUUGGUGAGAUGGCGGGGGUACGUAUGGUUGAAAGAAGAAAAAGCAAAACACUUGCAGCAACAGAUGGAAGAAGGUUGUUAUUAUGAACAUUUAAUAUUUGAAAGUAUAUUCUUAUUUGAAAAUACUUUUUAGAUUAACGGAAGCCAUUCUAACUUUAAGUAACACAUCCUUAUGCAAGGUAACUCUCAUUGCAACCCGGUUUAAUUCUUUAGAUUUGGAGCUAUAAUUGCAAGGUUGCAACAUUUUUUA